rnacentral:tRNA from 1 species
GGGCCGUUAGCUCAGUUGGCAGAGCACCGGGCUUUUAACCCGAGGGUCCAGGGUUCGAGUCCCUGACGGCCCACCA